AGAGAAGAGCUUCCGGUUUGUAAAGAAGGUGACUUGACAAUGGAUCAGUUGGUGGAGCUAACCAGCAAAGGAUGUGGGUGCUUUCUUGUGGUUGUUUCAUGAUCAUCGCUUGAUGGGUACAUACACUGAUGGAGAUAUUCGCCGGACUCUUAAAGCAAGUGGAGAAGCUAUCUUCAAACUCAGUGUUGGAGAAAUGUACAACACGAAGCCGAGGACAAUUGGACCAGAGACAAUGGCAGUUGAGGCUAUGAAGAAAAUGUAGUCACCUACAUCGCCUGUACAGUUUCUACCAGUGGUCGAUGAAGACAGUAUGUUGAUUGGAAUUAUUACAUUGCAUGGUUUGGUUUCACCUGGCCUCUGAACACGAAGCUGCCUCUAUGUCCGAGUUAUACGCAUAAGUUCAUUAUUUUUACAUAAACCAAGAUCCAGAUUAUUGGUGUAUUGUUGGUGAUGUUGAAUUGUAUUGUGUCUAGUGGUGCUCCCAUGUAUUGUACUCAUUCACCAUUUAAACAAAAGAUAUGUAUAGAGUAUAAGAAGAUUCUUAUUA